rnacentral:rRNA from 1 species
UUUAAUUGGACUCAACGCCGGGCAGCUCACCGGAUAAGACAGCUGGAUGAUAGCCGGGCUGAAGACUCUGCUUGACUAGCUGAGAGGAGGUGCAUGGCCGUCGUCAGUUCGUACUGUGAAGCAUCCUGUUAAGUCAGGCAACGAGCGAGACCCACGCCAACAGUUGCCAGCAUGUCCUCCGGGAUGAUGGGGACACUGUUGGGACCGCCUCUGCUAAAGAGGAGGAAGGAAUGGGCAACGGUAGGUCAGCAUGCCCCGAAUUAUCCGGGCUACACGCGGGCUACAAUGGUCAGGACAAUGGGUAUCGAUACCGAGAGGUGGAGGCAAUCUCCUAAACCUGUCCUUAGUUCGGAUUGUGGGCUGCAACUCGCCCACAUGAAGCUGGAAUCCGUAGUAAUCGCGUUUCAAAAUAGCGCGGUGAAUAUGUCCCUGCUCCUU